rnacentral:lncRNA from 1 species
UUUGACAUCCCGGCUGGCGGUUCUGGACCCAGCUCUCAGACCGCAUUUACUGCUACAGGUGACCAGGACUGGGCUGAUUGUUCACAAGACCAGCAAGCAGGAUUUCCAGGUGUUGGCUGGGUCAGUUGGCUUCCUCCUGGCCAGCUAUGCUGUGGGUAAGCCUCCUGCUGUUCUGGAACCACCCUGACCAACCAAGACGCUCCCAGGCAUCUGGGUCUGCAGGAAACAGUUGUCUCAAUGAUGGGUGCUUAGGCUU